CAAGUUUAAAGAGUUAUUACACAUAAUUUCUUCAAGCAUUUACUAAGUCUCAAUGCAUUUAUUUAACCAUGUCGUAGGUUUAGCAGAUAGCUUUGAUUACAGGUAAUAUGGAGAAACAGACAGAGACACAGAGGAUUACAAGGAGCUAAAAGAGACUGACAGAAGAGAGUAAGCAAAGCCUGUUUCAUUAACCUUCAAACCGGGAUCUCACACGUUUCACCGUCUUUAGUCAGUUGUGCUUUUCCGCCUUCUCUCGUUGUGUCCAGCUAAGCGUCUCCUGCAACUCCGCUUGGCUUCAUCAAACUCACUGAGCGCGUGAAACCUUAAAAACAAAAGAAACGUUGGUGAAGACCAGAGAUCCGAACAUGAGGAGCUUUGGCAUGAAACUGGCAGACUUUGUGUCGUUUGUGGUACUGUUUGGCUUUGCUCAUAUCCGCGGUACAACUCUCGACCUGACAAACUCCACUACUACUUGUAGCUUUACCUUUCUGCUUCUUCUCCAAAGCCUCUUCUUCUUCAAAAGUAUCUUCAUCUUCAGUUUCUUCUUCUUCUUCCUCUUCCUCACUCAGUUCUCGUAAGCUCCUCUUCCCUUCCGCUUUGCUUCUUCUCAUACUCAUCUGCAAAAUUCAACUCUCUCUCUCACAUGAAAGAUGGAACAAGAAGAGAAGAAGAGGAAGUAAAAGUAACCAUUGGAAGAGAUAUAAAGGAGCCCCAAACAAAAGUGGGGAAGGAUCUUAGGUGCUUAAGUUGUUGGACCACUAAAAUUUCACUCCUAAGGUAUAAAAAUUAUUAGCAUGUUGUGUAAAAAAGAGUACGAACAAGCUUUAGUGCUCUAUUAUUUUGUAUAUGCAUACAUGCAUACAUAUGUAUCCUUAAAACCUGACGAGGACCCAGCUCUAUUUUGUAGUUUUAAGUUAAUGUCGAUGCUAUGACACCACCCCGGUUUAUUUU
rnacentral:lncRNA from 1 species